CACCCAUUAAAGCAGUCAUGAGAAGUAUCUUUGGAAAAGAAAAGAAUCUAAGUGCCGUGAGAGAAGCACUCCUUUGAUAAAAGUCCCAGGGCUGUAAGAAGGUUCCUGUGAAGUGGAAAUGCCCAGUUGCAGAAGAGAGACACAGAAAGCGAAGGAUCACAGAGGCAAAAUACUAGUCUGAACUAAGAAGAAUUACAGGACGUCAAAAACAGACUCACCAUCAAGAGGAAGGAUACAAGCAGGCAGUGGGUCUUGAGAGGUAAAGGACCCAAAGUCUGGAGAAGUGAUGAACAUUAGCCCAAGACGACACAGCGACACACCUUGGACUCCCCUAUUUACCAUGCUGGAGCUGCUUCUGCCUGAGACCUGGAGGACAAUUUAUUAGACCUUCAGAGGGACAUGAUCAUCUGAGACUUCCUAGCACUCUUAAUGAUACAGCCACACCCACUGGCAUCUGCCUCCCUUGAGGGAGACUGCAAGAAUUCAGAAACUUAUUUUACUGGUUGCCAUGGCAAUUCUUUGCAGUGUCAGCAGAAAUACUCCACAAGACACACAAGCUAGUAGAAGCCUCCCCCAAGUCUUCAGCUCAGAAUCUCUCUCAGCCCUAGCCUCAAGCACUGUAUUGAGGAGCCUUGACUCUGAAAUGCAACAAAAUAACCACACACUCUGGGAUUCUUUGCUAUACCCUCCUCUUCAUAGGGCUCAGAAGUGAAACAUUG
ensembl:lncRNA